rnacentral:rRNA from 1 species
AAGACCUUGCACUUUUGGAGCGGCCGAUGUCUGAUUAGCUAGUUGGUGGGGUAAUGGCCUACCAAAGCUUCGAUCAGUAGCUGAUCUGAGAGGACGGCCAGCCACACUGGGACUGAGACACGGCCCAGACUCCUACGGGAGGCAGCAGUGGGGAAUUUUGGACAAUGGGCGCAAGCCUGAUCCAGCCAUGCCGCGUGAGUGAAGAAGGCCUUCGGGUUGUAAAGCUCUUUCAGCCGGGAAGAAAAGGUUGCGACUAAUAAUCGCAAUCCAUGACGGUACCGAAAGAAGAAGCACCGGCUAACUACGUGCCAGCAGCCGCGGUAAUACGUAGGGUGCGAGCGUUAAUCGGAAUUACUGGGCGUAAAGGGUGCGCAGGCGGUUUUGUAAGUCAGAUGUGAAAUCCCCGGGCUUAACCUGGGAACU